UACGUAGGGUGCAAGCGUUGUCCGGAAUUAUUGGGCGUAAAGAGCUCGUAGGUGGUCUGUUGCGUCGGCUGUGAAAUCCCGAGGCUCAACCUCGGGCCUGCAGCCGAUACGGGCAGACUAGAGUUCGGCAGGGGAGACUGGAAUUCCUGGUGUAGCGGUGAAAUGCGCAGAUAUCAGGAGGAACACCGGUGGCGAAGGCGGGUCUCUGGGCCGAUACUGACACUGAGGAGCGAAAGCGUGGGGAGCGAACAGG
rnacentral:rRNA from 1 species